GUYUUUUUGAGAUUAAUUUAAAGUYUAACCUGCCCAUUGAAUUUAAAUUUUAAAAGGCUGCGGUAUUUUGACCGUACAAAGGUAGCAUAAUCAUUAGUUUUUUAAUUGAGAACUAGUAUGAAUGGUUGGAUGAGAAAUUUACUUUUUUUAUUAUAAUAUUGAAUUUUACUUUUUAUUUAAAAGGAUAAAAUUUAAUUAAAAGACGAGAAGACCCUAUAGAGUUUAAUAUUAUUUAAAUUAUUUUUUGGAAAGUUUAUUAAUAAUAUUAUUUUGGAUAAUAUUUUAUUGGGGUGAUAGUAUAAUUUAAUUAACUUAUAUUUUAUUUUUACAUUAAUAUAUGAUUAUUUGAUCCAAUAUUAUUGAUUAUAAAUUUAAAUUACCUUAGGGAUAACAGCGUAAUUUUUUUUUAAGCUCAUAUUGAUAAAAAAUUUUGCGACCUCGAUGUUGGAUUAAGAUUUAAUUUUAGGUGCAGCAGUUUAAAAUUUAAGUCUGUUCGACUUUUAAAUUCUU
rnacentral:rRNA from 1 species